UCCUGGCUCAGGAUGAACGCUAGCGGCAGGCUUAACACAUGCAAGUCGAGGGGCAUCGGGAGUAGCAAUACUUGCCGGCGACCGGCGCAAGGGUGCGUAACGCGUGAGCAACAUGCCCGUAUCAGGGGGAUAAUCCAUGGAAACGUGGUCUAAUACCCCAUAGUAAUUAUGUAAGGCAUCUUAUAUAUUUAAAGCUUUGGUGGAUACGGAUUGGCUCGCGUGACAUUAGCUGGAUGGUAAGGUAACGGCUUACCAUGGCUACGAUGUCUAGGGGUUCUGAGAGGAAGGUCCCCCACACUGGAACUGAGACACGGUCCAGACUCCUACGGGAGGCAGCAGUGAGGAAUAUUGGACAAUGGAUGGAAAUCUGAUCCAGCCAUGCCGCGUGCAAGGAAGACGGCCCUAUGGGUUGUAAACUGCUUUUGUAUGGGAGCAAUAAGGGCUACGUGUAGUCCGAUGAGAGUACCAUACGAAUAAGCACCGGCUAACUCCGUGCCAGCCGCAGC
rnacentral:rRNA from 1 species